GAGAUCUCCGUUAUAAAUAGGUUUUUUUUUUUCUGAUUUGAAGACCAGGAAGUGUUCAAACGUUAAGCGGGAUGGAUAUUGCGGCUUCAUCUAAUCUCUUUGCAACAGCUUCUUCCCCGUUUAUCUCCGCAGCAAACAGGAAUUGAGUUUUUAUCCUCGCCAAAUCAUGCCCAGACAAUCAGAGCUUCGGUUCGAACGAUUCCAAUUUUCACUGGAGACAAACCAACGAAACCCAGGGCAUCAGCAAUCGAUGUCAAGGAGACA